UACAGAGGUCUCGAGCGUUACGCGGAUUUACUAGGGCUUAAAGGGUGCGUAGGCGGGAUCGUAAGUGCUUUGUGAAAUCCCAGGGCUCAACCCUGGAAUAGCUUGGCAUACUGCGAUCCUUGAGGUCGGUAGAGGUCGCCGGAACUCUAGGUGGAGCGGUGAAAUGCGUAGAUAUCUAGAGGAACGCCAAAGGUGAAGACAGGCGACUGGGCCGAUUCUGACGCUGAGGCACGAAAGCGUGGGUAGCGAACGGG
rnacentral:rRNA from 1 species